rnacentral:rRNA from 1 species
CGGGACUUGCACGAGCGCUCCUGCUCGAAGAAGAGGAAGCAGAGGUCAGCGAUGGCUGGGAGCAGAGGUCCGGCGAGCGGGGCGGCGAGGUCUUGGGAGUCCGGAUCUGGCCGGGAACGAGCUUGGACGCUGAGAAGAACCGGAUCCGGCGGCCGACGCCUUUAUCUGAAGAAGAAAGCAGCCAUGGCAUGGGGGCUUCAGGCAGGCGAUGGGAAUGCACGGGCGGUCGACGCGGGCGAGGGAAGCGGAGGGACUCCGGCGCAGCAGGGAGCUCGGCGGACGUUGUCGAGUUGGAGGCAUCGGUGAUCAGCGAGGCGAAGAGGACCACCAUGGUGGCCUUUUGUAACUCGUCCAUGAUGGCGCGACGGCGAGCUCAUGUCCGGGCAAGGGGAAGCAGGGAGACGACGGCUUGGGACAGAGGACCCGGUUGAGGACGACGUAGCAAAACGGGACGACCAUGGGCUCCUCCAGGUGGCGGCUUGCUUGCUCCGGCGAGGCGGAUGCAAGCAAGGAGAGUUGAGGCGGCCGGCGACGUUCUUCGGAUCGGUGGUGCUGGCCUUGCAGAAGAAACAAGGUGACGACGCGAUUAUCAGCAGCAGUAGGAGAAGAACAGCGAGAAACAGGAAGGAGGCGCGGUGAGGAGGACCUGCGGGUCGGAGCGGCUUGAUGGCGGGGGCCAUGGCGUGGUGCUGCUUGGGGCCGGAUGACGCUGCUCUCGAUCCACCCUGGAUCGAGGCACAGGAGGAGGGGAGGAGACGUGGAGCAUCCUGCUCGAGCUCGAGGGUGAGGGCGGCGCUCAGGGUUGGCCGUGAGCAGAGGAGCUCAAACAGAGUGGUGCUGGCUGAAUCGGAAGGAGGGGAUGGAUGGGACAGAGAUGAUUGGCCGAUGCUCUGUUCGGUGGUGGCUGAAUGCGCGGUGGAUCGGGCAGGGAGAUACCGAGGGGGAUUCGGUGUAGUGGCGGCGGCGAUGAGAU